rnacentral:rRNA from 1 species
UACGUAGGUGGCGAGCGUUGUCCGGAGUUACUGGGCGUAAAGGGCGCGCAGGCGGCGGUGCUGGCCCGGCGUGAAAGCCCCCGGCUCAACCGGGGAGGGUCGUCGGGGACCGGCACCGCUUGAGGGCGGUAGGGGCUGGUGGAAUGCCUGGUGUAGUGGUGAAAUGCGUAGAUAUCUGGAGGAACACCGGUGGCGAAGGCGGCAUUCUGGACUGCAACUGACACUGAGGAACGAAAGCCAGGGGAGCGAAACGGG